GUUGGAAAUUAAAAAUUUUUGUAAGUAUUACGUUUAAUAAUUAUAGUAUUAUAAUCGUUACAUAUUUAAUGAAUGUAAUGAUUAUGAUAUUAUGUGUUUAUUACCUACCUAUAUUAGUUUUUCAAUACGGUUCUGGCAUAGAUCAUAAUGUUAUAAUGUUUCUAUUUUUCCUAGUUGCUGUACAAAAAUAUCAGUUGAACUUUUUCCAUUUACAUUUGUAGCGCCUUUCUUUUUGCCAAUGACUUUGAGACUUUCCUACAAUAUUCUUCAUUGUGUGUACAGUGUUCUACAGAGACAAGAUAUUGUCAAGUGACAAUUAAUUUAAAUACAUAUAUUUACAAGUAAUAUAGUGGUGUCAAAAUAGAUAAUAUAAUUAAUUAUUAUUUUAGGCGAAUUGUUUUUGAAUAAAAGACACCAAAAAUGAAAAGGACUCUCUGAUGAUAUCUAAGAUUAAAAGAAACAAGAAUACAAUACAUAGAUGAUCCAACGCCAGUGAGUAUUGUAUAUUAAUUAUAAUUUUAUUUAUCAAAAAAUUAUAGCUAUAACACUCAUGCGACCAAAUUAUAAUUGUUUCACAUGGUUCCAAUAAUUUAGAAGAUCCACGGCACAAAAGUAUGCAAGACUCUCUUAUUGGUACAAUGGAUUAGAAAUCGAAUGGUGGAAAGAAAUUUAGAUUUUAACUUUUUGUAUAAAGUGUCUGGCUCAUGCGAUAGGAAUGUGUAUUUUAAUCAUAAAUGUCUCUUAUCAAAAUAUUUAAUAUAAAUUAAAAACUUUCUAAUACCAUAAUUUGAUUAAUUUUGAAUAGUGUGGCGGUUUGUCAUAUUAAAUAACACUCUGACUUCGUCUUAAAAUAAUGAAUAAUCUAAAAUUGUGUAGUAGUUAUUNUAUAAAUAAUUAUUAUUUUAGGCGAAUCGGUUUUGAAUAACAGACACCAAAAGUAGUCCUUUUCACUUUUGAUGAUAUCCAAGAUGAAAAGAAACAAGAAUUCGAUACAUAAAUGAUAAAACGCUAGUGAGUAUUGUAUAUAUCAAAAAAUAGCUAAAACACUCAUGCGACCGAAUUAUAAUUGUCUCACAUGGUUUUAAUAUUUUAGAAGAUCCACGGCACAAAAGUAUGCAAGACUCUCGUAUUGGUACAAUGGAUUAGAAACCGAAUCGGUGAAAGAAAUUUAGAUUUCAACUUUUUAUAUUCAAAUGUCUGGCGCAUGUAAUAGAAAUGCAUAUUUU